CCCACUAAAUGCUGCACCUUGAAACUUAUACAUGAGACAGAGGCCCCCACUCACGAAAAUUUGUUCGAUUGCAAUACAAAACAUGUGAAAGGAUGCUUCAAAUCUUCCUUCUACCAUUUCGAGAUGCAGAAGAGUUUUAUCCCUUCACACCUUCAUCCAUCUGCGAAGGCCUAUCAGAUUCAUGUCUAACAGCAUUAAAAGUAGAACAUAAUUAACAACUUUUUGUUCCAGAAUAAAAUGUUAGUACCACAAGUUUAGAACAAUAGUUGCCUAGCCCCUUCAAAUUCAAACAGGAGCAAAAUAUAUGCUCACUAUCACACAAAGUGGCACUCGCAAAAUUAAGAAAGUUUCAAUUUGUUUCAAUUUAACAAAAUUUACGAACAUACAAAUUUAUUUUUUCCACUGUGCUUUUAGUUUAGGAGCUUUUAACAUGAUAAUGAAAUUAUAGUACUCCCUUCGUUCCUUUCCUUAAUAUAAGUCUGUUUUAGAGAAAUAUUUUUGUUCCUUAAUAUAAGACAGUUUUAGAAUUUCAAGUAAGCAUUAAUUGCUUAGUUUCCAAUAUUACCCCAAGUAUUAAAUAUAACUUUGGUUCUCUCACUAUUUUUUGUCUAAUAAAUAACAAUCUCUUCUUCCGAUACAAGGGCAAAAUAGACAAUUGAUAUUAUAGUUAAUGUUAUACAAUCAUUUCCUUAAUACUUGUGCACAACUCUAAAACGACCUAUAUUAAAGAACGGAGGGAGUAAUAAACUUGAAGAAGUCUGUCAUUUAAUUCUACGACUCAAAUCAAUUGCACUUUUUGAAAUAAACAAAGAGCAAAAAAAUUGGAACUUUUUGGGGAUGGGAUGAAUACAUAACAAUUAUGUAGAGACCAAAAUCUCUUUUUGCUAAACAGUUUUAUUGCUCUUGCAAUCUGCUAAAUGAUUAUCCAAUGAUGCCAAAAAAUAUCAAAGAAUCACAAUUUUACAAUGUUAACACAAAAUAGAUUUUAUAAUAAUAAAAUAGAAAUUUGAUUAGAUAAAAAUUAUCUUAUAUUACUGUGAGUGGUUAUCAAAAUUUGUCUUAAUAAUGCUUAAAAAAAUUAAAGGCAGUAUAUUAACAAUGCGUGUACCUUUUCCCUGAAUUAAGAGCCUUGGUUAUUCAUAUAUGUUGAUUUCUGAUUUUGUAGUUGUAACAAUGUUGAUUAUGUAGGAGGAGAAGGAAGGAAUGGACACCAAUCGCAACAGACAAGGAAAACCACACACCACACCACCAGAGGAGAGAACCUGGGUUAAAAAGCCCCGUGCUUUCUCCCCUCAAAACCAAAAUAUAUCGUUUAUUAUAUUAAAAUUUUGAUGACCUGCCAUGCAAGCGCACCUGUCAUGGCAAAGGCCGUAUCACAUCAUAACAGAAUCCCUUUUCCCCAAUUGUCUACCCAUAACAGAACCCCUUUUCCCCAACCCAAAAUACAAACCCUUACAAGCUAAAUCCAAUUUCGCAAGAUUCCAAGUUAUGAAAGAUUAGGGUUCGUCGAUUGUCUACCACCAGGAAACAUCACAACGCAGCGCCUGCGACGAAACAAUCCCAUCUUAUUCUGAAUUGAAACCUGCAGAAAAACUUCUGAUACCUUUCAUAGAUGACGAAACAACUAUAGAAAAUAUAACAAUAAACAAAAAAUCAAAGUAUACGGUAGCAAUCGAUAAACCUCUAGUACCAAAUUCCGUCGGUUUCAAAGCGCUGGUCUAAACGAUAAAGGAAAGGCAGGUACGUUGUACGGCAUAAUGUGUUUCUACCGGUAUAUAUAGGAUAGUUGGGGAGAGCGAACGG
rnacentral:lncRNA from 1 species